rnacentral:rRNA from 1 species
UACGUAGGGCGCAAGCGUUGUCCGGAAUUAUUGGGCGUAAAGAGCUCGUAGGCGGUCUGUUACGUCCGCUGUGAAAACCCAGGGCUUAACCCUGGGCUUGCAGUGGAUACGGGUAGACUAGAGGCAGGUAGGGGAGAAUGGAAUUCCCGGUGUAGCGGUGAAAUGCGCAGAUAUCGGGAGGAACACCGGUGGCAAAGGCGGUUCUCUGGGCCUGACCUGACGCUGAGGAGCGAAAGCCAGGGGAGCAAACGGG